rnacentral:lncRNA from 1 species
UUAGCUUGGGUUAGGGUAUGGAUUCAAAAAGGAAAACAAGGGGCUUUUGGUUCAGAGUCGAUGUUACAUCCUGUGUUUGUUUCUUUUAUUUCCUCGGUUUUCUUUUCUUAUUUCUUGAAUUUUUACCGACUGCCUUUUUUCGUGCUUUUUCUUUUGAAUCAUCGAUUAAUUAAUUUUUAUUUUUCUUUCUUUUUCUCGAUUCAUCAAUUUUUCUUUUUUUUCUUUAGUUUUUGCACUUUCAAGGGCUUUG